UUAAAAUGUUAAAAUUAUAAAUGAAAAAUAUAAAAGUAUUAAUAAUAUUGAUUUUCGAGUUAAAAAAAAGAAUAAUACGAUCAAAAUAAAAAAUAAAAUUAAAUUUGUUAUCAACUGAUGAGAAAUAGCUAUCAGCUUAUUUAUCAGUUACCCAGUUAUCAGCUUUAUUUUUUAAAAUUUGUCAAACACUCUAAUUCACCUGUUUUUAUAUCUAUCAACUAUCAGUUACACCCAACAAGUGAACCAAACAUCUCCGUAAUUAAUUUGGCAAACUUAUUUCUUCAAGAUCAUCUAAUGACAAGAAAACUUCGUCCAAGCAAGACAAUUCUUCUCCGUCACCAUCUUCAUCAGAGCUUCGCUCGUACACUUUGCAAAUGACCCAGUCUAUUUUUGGAUGUGCUCUUGUUUUGGAUGACCUGCUUAUACUACUAGAACAAGAAUCCGAUGAUAAUAAUCCAUACUCUUCCAUUAUCCAACUAGUUUUCAUUCCUGCUGGAGCUUCUCCUACGUAAAACCCUAAAUAUUUCUUCAUUCCAACUCUUAUAUUGGCGCUUGUAAGCACUGGUUCUUCAAUGCCAAUAGCCUUCCAAUAUCCAUUCUCUGCAAUCCUAUUUUGUGUCCUCCUGCUGUAGAAGUACCAUUGCUUCCCUUCAGCUAGUGCUUUGCCAUGAAGUUGCCAUGGAUCAUAAGGAUAUAAAUCAAGAUCAGGGAUGACAUCUGGAUGACAAGGCAAAAGCGUUGCCUUACGAUGAAGAAAAUGGACAACGAGUUCUUCCUCAGUUGGAUAAAAUCGAAAACCAGGAGGGAGAUUAACAUUGCUACCACUCAUUUCUAUCUCCAACGGCACGAGAACAAUAAUGAAGUCAAGAAGAAGAAGGUACGAUGAUGGAGUAUUGUUGAGAUGGGUGACAUUUGAUUUAUAGAAUGUGAGAAGGAUAAGAGACGUGAAAAGAAGGUGUCUUCAAAUAUAGAAGAAAACAAAUCAUCAUACAUAGAGGAGGAGAGGUGAUGGUUUUGAUGCGUUGCAGAGAUUCUUGUUUUAU
rnacentral:misc_RNA from 1 species